rnacentral:lncRNA from 1 species
CCAGAGAGAAAAGAUGAGGCGGCACCAGGGUAGUGAGUGAUGUGAAUUCCUGUCAGAGCAGAAAUUGUGCUAGGGGAGGUCUCUAGACAGAAAAAAAAAAAAAAUCUUUGGGUUGGGGAUGGGUGAAGAGUACAAAGAAAAAGAAAAGAAGGGAUGAGUUUUAAAAAAUGCAGGAAGAAGGCAGUAAGCAAUUAGAGAAGACUCAGUGUGUGCACAGUUGUCAGUCCCUGCUGGAAAUGCCCGCCAGUGGCCAGAAGUGGGUCAUGAGUGUAAUGAGCCAGUCAGCCUGACAUCUGCACUCUUUAGUCCAGCCUCAGGUUUCCACCUGGAUCUAGCAACUUGCGAGCUUCAGAGCAGAGAGGUAAGUGCGUGAUUUUCUUUGGUUCUUGCCUCCCUUGUCAGACACGGACACCUAUUUCCCCACAUAGGGCAAAGUCUACCUUCUUGACUAACCAGAAAUAACCAGAGGAAGCUAUAGUCCAGACUGGGUCUCUUCCUUCCCUCAAAGGCUGUACUGAUUUAAGAGAAAACUUGCUCUGACCCCUGCCAAAGCUGAUAACUUAUGAGUUUCUAAUUAACACCCACCCCAGGCCUUUGAAUUUGUAGAGAUGCAAAUGAUGCUCAUUUCUAAUAAUUUAAUUCUUCCAAUGACAGCCAUCAUUUUUGUGAAGACUUCAAGAAAACUGGGCAAGAAUGAUGCAAAGUUCAUCCAAACCAUGGCUACUGCUUGUGAAACUUCCCAGAGCACCUUUGAUCCUGGCAGUGGAUUAGUAUGUAAUGGGAAGACAGCCUGGAUUCUGAAAAGCCCAGAUUCUGCAAUUGAAGAGAAUCAUACAUACCUGACUGGCAUGGGGCUAGAGAUUUUUCCACCAAAACCCACUGUGAUCAUGUUUAUUUCAUUUCAUCCAGUAGACUGGACUCUCUUCAUAUGCACUUUUUUCAUCUCCAGCUUCAGGCAGAUUAACUCAGCAAACUUGGAAGCCAGAUGAUGAAAACUGAAAAACUGUAAGAUGGAAGGGAUAUGGAACUCCAGUUCACUGCUUGAAGAAGGGCAGUCAGAGUUAACAGUUUUAGACUUUAUAAGGAGAAAUAAAUUUAUGUCAUGUGAACAAUUAUAUAUUUUAGAGUUUGUUUUUCAAAACAGCUUUACUAUAACUGCUAAAUGGAAAAAUGCAUGCAUUUCUCAAUUACCAGAUUACAACUCAAACUGUAUUUUGUUUCCAGUACUAGAGACACAAGACAUGAGUUAAUCAAAUUUUUUUGUGUGUAGCAGCCUGGGUAAUUCAUGUUUUUAAGUCCCUUUAAUAUCUUAUUGGUUGUGCAUUCUAGGUUUUAAACAACUUGUUUAGAAUGAACUUUUAGAACCACACCCAUUUCUAAGUUGGGAACUGCUUACAUAGCAAAGGAUUUAUUGCUGAAUGAUCAAUUUGAUAUGCUUGUCAUAACUGCUAAACUAUACAGACAUGGGCCAUUUAUUCCAGACAACAUAAUGUCUGAAUUGGAUUGAAGAAACUGGAUCAAUAGACCUUAACCAUCGACCUGAAAAUGGUCACUCCAUACAAUCGUGGAAAAUCAAGUAGUCCAGUUGUCUGAAAAAAUAACAAUUGGCAGACAAAUUACUUUAUCAGUCAUCUUUGGUUUUAGUGGGAAAUUGUAUGGUUUUAAUUUCAAAAAGGAUAUGGUUCACUAACCUUAUAGUGACUGAUAUUAAAAAAUUGAAAUGUAUGUUAUAUCACAAAGCUGAUGGAAUGGAGUUCAACUAGAUGCGUUUUUUUUUACCAAAAAAAAAUAAUAAAUUUGUUUUAAGAAGU